CGGGCGGGCCCGGAUUUGCCGCCGCGCUUGGGAAGCCGCCACCGCCGCCGCUGCUGCAUGGCACUAGGCUCCCGGCGGGGCAGGUUCCGCAGCCGGCACCGCUCUGGCUAGGCGCACGGAGGCGCCUUGCUUAGUCUGACCCUUAUUUGGCCAGGCGUAAAACUUGUCCUGCCUAAAAGCCUACUGAGACCUCCUAACUGGUCUAAUCCGCGGGAGACGCCAAAGGCGGCGGCCGUUUGUGCGCACAGGAUUUUUCUUGGAGCUGUAGCAGUCUAGGAAGCCAGGGUGGAACUUUUGCUAAGCUCCCGUUGUAAGCCCAGAGCUGUAAUAACUGCUGAGACACAACCAGCAGUAUACAGGCUCCAGUUGGAAAUCGAGAACUUUCCAGGGCUGUCACCCAGGCUGGAGUGCAGUGGUGCCAUCACAGCUCACUGCAGCCUCGACCUCCUAGGCUAAAGUGAUCCUCCCAACUCAGCCUCCCGUAGCUGGGACUACAGGAAUGUGCCACGCCCAGAUGGUAAACUCCUGCAAAGCAGAUUGUUUGGUUCUUCUUCCUUCACGGUGCCUGACCCAUCGUUCUGCAGAUAUUAGGAACUUUCUCCAAACCACCAAGCUUCCAACUGAGGUACAUGGGUCCUUGGAUGUGCAAGAAGGUGUACCAUGCACAUUGAGAGUUUAAACAAGUCCAUUUCCGGAUCCACAACACCCAUAUGAAUUUUUCCUCCAGAUGACCUCCCUCAGGAACAUGUCUGCAGUCACCACUUGUCUUGAGUGGCUACCUGGGGUUAAGAAAAAAGCUCUGCCCUGAAUGCCAAUGGGAAGGACAGCUGUUGCAGCUCCUGAGUGCAGGCCAAGGAAGGCAUUCACCUUCAUGAAAACCAGGACUACUGUGCAUG
rnacentral:lncRNA from 10 species